rnacentral:misc_RNA from 1 species
GAUGAAGAACGUAGCGAAAUGCGAUACUCGGUGUGAAUUGCAGAAUCCCGUGAACCAUCGAGUCUUUGAACGCAAGUUGCGCCCGAAGCCACUAGGCCGAGGGCACGCCUGCCUGGGCGUCACACGCCGUUGCCCCCCCAUCUACUCCUUCGGGAUUGCGGGGGGGCGGAUGAUGGCCUCCCGUGCGCCUAGCCGCGCGGUUGGCAUAAAUACCAAGUCCUCGGCGACGCACGCCACGACAAUCGGUGGUUGCGAAACCUCGGUUGCCCGUCGUGUGCGUUCGUCGCGCAUCGAGGGCUCGAAAAAAUGCUCGGCUCCGGCUGGGCUUUCAACGCGACCCCAGGUCAGGCGGGGUUACCCGCUGAAUUUAAGCAUAUCAAUAAGCGGAGGA